AUGGAGCCGGCGACCAAGCAGGACCUGAAGGAUCUCCUGAAGGAGUUCCGAGAGAGCAUGAAGGAGAGCAUCAGGGAGGCUGUCGCGGUCGGGUUCGGUAACACGAAGCCGGCAUUCGAGCAGGCGACCAUCUCGACCUCUUCUCAGUUCCUCGCCAUGGACGCCUCCGAUGACAAGGAUCUGGCACCUGCGUGCUCCAGCCCUGAACAGGGCACGUACGCCCUCGACUUCGCCCCAACGACCACCAUCGAUGCUCUUCCCGAGCUCGACAUUGACGCCACGGGCGUUGCUGCACCAACGCCCACAACCUGCUCGACGGAUGGCCUCAUCCACAGCACCGAUGGAGACGAUAGGAUGGAGGCGUCGAAGGCUGCUUGGGAUUCGUCUACGCCCUUCACCGCACGUCCAGGGGACUCACCAACACCAAUGAGUGAGCCAUCUCUCGGCCUUGCACUCGGUGCGCUGGCGCAGACCAAGUGUUUGGCAGAAUGCUCAGGCCAAGUUGAUGCGUCUGUCACGGCCAGUGUUAUCUUAGCGACUGCUGGCUGCAUGCCCACUACCUGUUCGACCGAGUGGGUCACCCAUGCUGACAGUCGCAUCAUCGACUCAUCGUCAACAACCCUACCCAUUUGGCUCGCAGCUGCAGCGGUGCAUCGUUCGUGGGUGCAGACAGUGCCACCGCACCCACCGGACCUGAGGUUAUUUUUUUGGUGGGACCAUGGGUGUCUAAUGAGUGGCCGUGGUGAUUUGGAAAGAGUGAUUCAUCCUAGCCCAAAUGAAAGUUUAUGCACAAGGCAAUGUCAAGAGGUAAAACUCUCGUGUCUGUUUCAUGGGAUGUCUAUUUCUUGGCAAUGGUUGGUACACUGGCUAGUCUAUGGAGUUGAUUUACAUCAAAUUCCGUGUCCAUCAUUUUCAAAUGGUGAGCCACCAGAUGUGGAUUGUUCCAGUGUUGCCAAUUGGGACCCCCAUGUGCCUAUUUCUGUUGAUGACAAGUUCCUGAAGCAUCUGUUUCUAAGUGUUCAAGUGCAUGACAGUGGAAUGGUUGUAGUUCCCUCUCUGACCUUGAUACGACUCCUUACUGUACUUGAGGCACCAUUCACAAUCCAUGGAGGGUUUCUUCUCAUAGAUGGCCUCUGGGGCUGGUCACUACAUCUGUUCGGACGCGUAAAGAAGGUAUCCGAUGAUAAGCGAGAUGCCCAAUGUAGCUUGGUCUAUCUUAAGUUACAGCAACAUGGAUUGUUUGUUGUACAUCUUACUGAUGGAAAUUCUCUCUGUUCAUGCCACUAUACUGAUGCACUUGCUUUUGAGUGGGGCUACAACCAUAUUUCUUACAGACAACUUCUAGAGAUCUGUUGCAAGCGACUGAAGUGUAAAUGGAGAAUACAAUCUGGGCUAGUACAGACCACAUUCAGCCGAAUUGGUGCAGUAACCAGUGGAACAAUGGGACUGUUGGUUGUGCAAUUACCAGAGUGUAUUGAUGACCAACUAGCAGAAUUGCUGAAGGAAAAUUUUAAUGAGAUGCCAAAGUGCAGUGUUACUCCUAUAUCUUGUGAGAGUGGAUGUAAGUUGCAUAACACAUCAUUCUUUAUCUGGCGGACAAGUGCAGUCUGCCUUCUUCUCUGUUGCUAUGAUCAAUUUCAAUGGAAGCUGGCUGGGUUAUGCUAUCACCUGUCUAACUGCUGUCCAGUGACACUACUUGGGCUGCCGGUGUCAGCAAACUGUUUGACUCGGAGGUAUGCAGGUCACAAGAACCAGGUCUACCACAUGAAGUUGUCUCAUUCUAAUCAUUGUCAAGAGGGAAUAAACUUGCAAGUGGAGCAGAUAUGGUGUGCAAUUACGAGUAAUACUAUUGAUGCUUAUCCUUGUGGUGGUGAAGACCAUGCACGCGAAUCAUUGUUCAACCUGGAGCUUGCUGUACAUGCGAAGGAGUUCGAUGUGCAUGGUGGAGCUCUUACGGUGUAA
rnacentral:rRNA from 1 species